rnacentral:rRNA from 1 species
GACGAACGCUGGCGGCGUGCUUAACACAUGCAAGUCGAACGGAAAGGCCCUGCUUUUGUGGGGUGCUCGAGUGGCGAACGGGUGAGUAACACGUGAGUAACCUGCCCUUGACUUUGGGAUAACUUCAGGAAACUGGGGCUAAUACCGGAUAGGAGCUCCUGCUGCAUGGUGGGGGUUGGAGAGUUUCGGCGGUAGGGGAUGGACUCGAGGCUUAUCAGCUGGUUGGUGGGGUAGUGGCGUACCAGGGCUUAGACGGGUAGCCGGCCUGAGAGGGUGAACGGCCACCAUGGGACUGCGGUACGGCCCAGACUCGUACGGGAGGCAACAGUGGGGAAUAUGGCGCAAUGGGCGGACGCGUGAUGUAGAAACGCCGCGUGCGGGAUGACGGCCUUCGGGUUGUAAACCGCUUUCGCCUGUGACGAAGCGUGAGUGACGGUAAUGGGUAAAGAAGCACCGGCUAACUACGUG